UUAACCCAGCAAGAGACAUUGAACCAUAUUUGAAAUAAUAAUUCAAUUUAGUUUCACUAACUUGACUAAUUAGGUGCCAGCAGUCGCGGUCAUACCUAAGAGUUGAUUAUACAAUUUAAGCUAGCUAACUUUGAAAUUCUAUAACCAGGUAAAAUUUUUAUAGAACUUAAAAUUCCCAUUCUGCACCAAUUCUAAAGAUAAACCGGGAUUAGAUACCCCGUUAUAUAGAACCAAAAUCUAAAGCUUUAGCACUAAAACUUUAUAGUUAAAACUAAAAUGACAUGGCGGCAACUUCAAAUUUCAGGGGAACUUACCAGAUAAAUGAUAAUCCGCAAAAUACCUCACUUUUUCUAAUAGUUUGUAUAUCGUCGUCUUCAGAGCCUGUUUUAGAUAAGCUCAAAACGUAAACAAACAAAAAGACAGAUCAAGACGCAGCCUAUGAAAAAGCCUAUAAGGUGAGUUACAAUGAUUUAAAUCUUGAAAUUAGUUUGAAAUCAACUAAGGAAACCGGACUUGAAAGUAAAAAAGAAAAUAAUUACUAUUUGAAUGUUCAACAAGUUGUGCACAAAUCGCCCGUCACUCUCGUUGAAAAAGGAGAUAAGUCGUAACAUAGUAAGUGUACCGGAAGGUGCACUU
rnacentral:rRNA from 1 species